CGUGUAGGCGGUUGGUCAAGUCUGGUGUGAAAGCCCGGGCUUAACCCCGGAAGUGCACUGGAAACUAGCCAGCUAGAGCGCGAGAGAGGAGGUGGAAUUCCUGGUGUAGCGGUGAAAUGCGUAGAUAUCAGGAGGAACACCGGCGGCGAAGGCGGCCCUCUGGCUCGUUGCUGACGCUGAAACGCGAAAGCGUGGGGAGCAAACAGGAUUAGAUACCCUGGUAGUCCACGCUGUAAACGAUGGGUACUAGGUGUUCGGGGUAUUGACCCCUGAGUGCCGACGCUAACGCAUUAAGUACCCCGCUGGGGACUACGGCCGCAAGGUUAA
rnacentral:rRNA from 1 species